CAGGAAGAGAGGACCCAUAAGGCUGG
rnacentral:piRNA from 1 species